rnacentral:rRNA from 1 species
UACGUAGGGUGCGGAGCGAUUGAAUUCGAAUACUGGGCGUAAAGCGUGCGCAGGCGGCUGGGCAAGUCCGAUGUGAAAGCUUCCGGCUUAACUGGAAAAUUGCAUCGGAAACUGCUCGGCUUGAAGGUGGGAGAGGGUAGCGGAAUUCCCGGUGUAGUGGUGAUAUGCGUAGAUAUCGGGAGGAACACCAGUGGCGAAGGCGGCUUUCUGGGCAUUUCCGUGACGCUGAGUACGCGAAAGCGUGGGGAGCGAACCGGG